rnacentral:lncRNA from 1 species
CUUUCGAGAUUUUUGCAAGUGCCAAGACAUUCAUGAUCUAUCUGAAUAAGGACAAAUUCAUUAUUUUUUUCCUUGUCUUAACAUUGAACAGGAGUGGAGUUACUUAAGAGGAGGCCUAACUACUGUGGAUCGUGAUUAUGGAUGGUUUAACAAAAUCCAUCAUGAUAUUGGCACCCAUGUUAUACACCAUCUCUUUCCUCAGAUCCCGCAUUAUCACUUAGAAGAGGCGGUAAUACCUCAGUUACUCAAACUACAUUUACCUGUUUGUUAAUAACGAGGAAGAAGCUAAAAUCUUAUCUUCUACACUUUCCGGUCAUGUCCACUUAUACGUGCUCUCGUGCACGUAUGUUUCUUAUAUCAAUUUGAUAAUAGCGAUUGUUGAAGGCAGUAAUACUUCAAACUACAUUGGCAUGUUUGUGAAGAUCGAGCCUACAAGACUAUAUUAAAGGCAUGUUUGAUCUUAAAAUCAGAUUUUUUCGCUAACUUUUAUGGAAUAAGGCAAUCCCAAUAAAUUCCAUGACAUGCACCGAGAACCCAAAUUCAUGCUUUCCAAUGUUGCCCUCGACUUGGAAGAGUGAUUUAACAUUUUACCCCCAGUGCUUUUCCCAUUACGGUAUAAAGGGUUUCUCCAUAGAUCUAUAUGGUUGGCGGUAAAUUGGAGAAUCAGACAGCACUAGUUGAUGAAAUAGAAGAGAGAAUUCAACAUUGUCAUUAUUUCUCUACCAAACAAAUGUAGAUUUUGGUCCAGUAAAUCAGAUUUCCUCAUAAUUAGGAUCAAACAAACGCUGAAGAUAAAAAAGAAGCUAAAAUCUUGUAUAUUAAAAUGAUGAAUCUUGUCUACUAGUGCACGUCCUCCCAUGUAUAACAGUACUGUUUCAUUUGUUUUGCACACAGACAAGGGCGGCUAAACCAAUCAUGGGCAUGUAUUACAGAGAGCCCAAAAAAUCAGGACCAGUUCCUUUUCAUUUGCUCCAAAAUUUGGUAAGAAGCAUUAAUGAAGACCAUUUUGUUAGUGAUAGUGGAGAAAUAGUGUAUUAUCAGAAGGAUUCACCACUCUAUUGAGAGAUUUGCUUCCACUAAGAAGAGUGACUACUGAUUCUUCCAUCGACACAUUAUCUGAAAUAGUGAUUUUUACUGUAUUUCUUGUUUGGGCUGCGUCUCAUGAAUAGGUUGUGGUGUCUGUUAUCUUGAUAUACUAAUAUACUAUGUCUUAUGUAAUCAUAUAAUAUAAUAAGUCAUUGUUUUUUAUGUCCCUAAGAAAUUCCAUUAUAUGAUAAUGUAUUAAUGUAAUUAUGUCUUCUUUACUGCUUUCAAACGAAAUUGGAAAAUAUUUAUUGUACAUCACCGUUCACCCAAUCUUCUAUAGAUUGACAAGGUGUCAAAAAGAAAAUGUGAG